rnacentral:lncRNA from 1 species
CACAUGAGGCUUGCAUAGAUAAGGCCUCACUCUUAGUUUUACCCUGGGAACAGUAAUUGCCUAGAUACGAUGCGGAGAUACACCUCUUGAUGGGUCUUAGGAAAAGAUCCAAAGAAGAUGAGCCCCUAAAAGCUAGCUAUCACAGCAUCUAAAUACUAGGUGCUUGGCUUCUAUGCUGCAGUUCAGCAUUUAGUGGGAGCAGCCUGUGGUGCUGGAGGACAGUUAGCCCUAUAGGACUGCUGAAGUACUUAGCAGAGAGUUGUCUUCCACCAGCUGGCUGCGCCUGCAGCUGCUACAGCUAGGCGAGAGAAAUACUCUGGGCUUCAAAAAAUGUUUGGGAAGACCCACCUGUUUGUUUGCUGAUCUUCUUUGAUGGCAUUAAAGAAGGUAACAUUUGCCUCUUGGAGGAGAAACAAAUAGCUGUGGUGGGCUAGCACUGUUGUUGCUCUUGCUUUGGGAGCCCAAUCCUGAUUCCUUCUACGCUAACACAUGCAAAAAAGGGAGAGAGAAGAAAGUAACCUUUGAGGAGACUGCCACCUUCAUUUCUGUUGAUAUUUUAAGCUUUCUAGAAAAUCUACCUGUUUGUUGAGAGAGAAGAAAAAGUGACAACUGAUCUGGAUAUUGAGGUAGCUCUUUAGUUCCCCUGGGGUGGAAUAGCACAAAGAAGUCUUAAUGGCUAUCUGGAAAAUGAACUGAGAAUUUCCCCAAGACCACGAGUUCACCUGGCCGUGAAAUCAAAGACAAGAAGGAAGGCUGGAGCAGGAGACACUCUGCUGAUUCCUGGCUGGGAAGAUAGUGUCUAGGAGACUGGUCUUGUAGCUUGAUGGUAGACUCUGUGUGGCAAAACUCCAUCCUGAUGAAGUGCAACUUGCGCCCAGUGGAUGACUGGUUUGAGUGCAGUGGGACCUGUACAUAAAAGCUUCAACAGACAAGAGGAAGAGGUUUCUGAGCUGGAACCCUAUCUGGAGACAAAUAGGGCAGAGCAGCCAAAGGGGGAGCCAGGCCACCUGAGGACAGGUAAGCAGUUGGAGGAGUGCACCAGAGGGCUCAGCACAGUGCAAAGAGCACCCAAAUCUCAGAC